rnacentral:misc_RNA from 1 species
UUGAAACUUUCAUACUCAGUUGUGGAUAGAAAGAAACAAAAAAUAUGUGCAUUGUUGUCUAGCACAUGGAACCUUUCAGCCACGUAUUUGAAUUUUAAUCAACAGCAGAAACUACAAACCAAGUCUCUUCAGUGAAAUUUUGAUUUCACAAACCCAUCAUCCGUCAAGCUUUCUUUUUAUAUCAGACUUGCUUCUCAUGCAAAAUUAUUUUCCUUCCUCAUAACAGCCAACUUGGAAAUCUUUUUUACAAGCCCGUCAGAAGGUGGCAGCGGAGCAUAUGAAGCAGCAUUAAUUAUUUCCUGAAAUUUCCCAAGCACUUUCUGCUUUUUGGCCAAAACAUCUUCAAAAUUAUUCUCUUGUUUUCUAGUCUUAGUUGAAGUAAGCACAAGCUCCCCAUCCUUGAUCCGAGUCUUUUCCAUGAGCAUGAUCCUCUCCCUGACUCUUUCACUCAACCAAUUAGCGUUUUUGACAUCAAGCUUCAUAAUAAUUUUUGUGCCAGCUGUGUUAAUACUUCUCAUACGAGCUUUGCUUGGUGUGCUGGUAUUUUGCUUCUGAGUUCCUUUCUUCCCUUUCUUCUUGAUAGGCAUGUUUUUCUUAGCCUUUGUGCUUGCUGCAUUAGUGUCUUCUGUAUGACUUCUAGUGUCAACAUAUCCCGCAAAGCUCACAGAAACAUGACUUAGUGUAAUUUUCGGAAUAGGUUCAUUUCCGGUAGAAUGAGUUCUUUCAUCUGCUUGAAGAAGGUAAUUGUACACGGCCGGCAUUCGUCGAGGAGCUGUUUUCUUCUCGAGGUAGCUCAAACCUGACGUCGACGCAAACCGAACGGCACCGCCGCUGACGGUGGCGCGUGGAAAGAUUGAGUGAGUGACAUUAUUGCUUGUUGUCGAUAGCAAUUUAGGAUUCAACAGUUUCCCGGCGAUCUUAGUUGUCUGCUUUAGGAUCGCUGCCAUUUUCUGGGAAGAAGAAGAA